rnacentral:rRNA from 1 species
AACGAACGCUGGCGGCAUGCCUAACACAUGCGAGUCGAACGAGACCUUCGGGUCUCGUGGCGCACGGGUGCGUAACGUGUUGGAACCUGCCCUUAGGUUCGGAAUCAAUCCCCGAAAGGGGUUCUAAUACCGGCUAAUGUCUUCGGACCAAAGAUUUAUCGCCUUUGGAUGGGCCCGCGUUGGAUUAGCUAGUUGGUAGGGUAAAAGCCUACCAAGGCGACGAUCCAUAGCUGGUCUGAGAGGAUGAUCAGCCACACUGGGACUGAGACACGGCCCAGACUCCUACGGGAGGCAGCAGUGGGGAAUAUUGGACAAUGGGCGAAAGCCUGAUCCAGCAAUGCCGCGUGAGUGAUGAAGGCCUUAGGGUUGUAAAGCUCUUUUACCCGGGAUGAUAAUGACAGUACCGGGAGAAUAAGCUCCGGCUAACUCCGUG